rnacentral:rRNA from 1 species
AGCUCCAAUAGCGUAUAUUAAAGUUGUUGCAGUUAAAAAGCUCGUAGUUGAAUUUCUGGUCAUUUUUAGUCGCGGCUUCGGUCAGGCUAAGGUUGGCCAUCCGUUUGCAAUCUGCUCUCGGCCUUCACUGGUUCGGAGUAGGGAGCUGACAUUUUACUUUGAAUAAAUUAGAGUGUUUCAGGCAGGCUUUUGCCCGAAUACAUUAGCAUGGAAUAAUGGAAUUGGACUUUGAUCCAUUUGGUUGGUUAUUGGAUCUAAGUAAUGGUUAAUAGGGACAGUUGGGGGCAUUAGUAUUUAAUUG